rnacentral:rRNA from 1 species
GAUUCUGGCUCAGGAUGAACGCUGGCGGCAUGCCUAAUACAUGCAAGUCGAACGGGAGUGCUUGCACUCCAGUGGCGAACGGGUGAGUAAUACAUAGGUAACCUGUCCUUAAGACGAGGAUAGCUUCUAGAAAUGGAAGAUAAAACUGGAUAGGACAUCACAAAUCACAUGAUUAGAUGUUUAAAAGAGCAAUCUACUUAAGGAGGGGCCUGUGGCGCAUUAGCCAGAUGGCGGGGUAAUGGCCCACCAUAGCGAUGAUGCGUAGCCGGUCUGAGAGGACGAACGGCCACAUUGGGACUGAGACACGGCCCAGACUCCUACGGGAGGCAGCAGUAGGGAAUUUUCGGCAAUGGGCGGAAGCCUGAACCCGAGCAAUGCCGCGUGAAUGAAGAAGUAUUUCGGUAUGUAAAGUUCUUUUAUUUGGGACGAAAAAACAAAUUGACGGUACCAAAUGAAUAAGCCCCGGCUAACUAUGUGCCAGCCGCUGC